CCGUGUAAGGGGUGUUACAAUUGUAUUAAUUAGAAUUAAAAUGUAUCUAGGGUAGUAUGGGCACCUAGCAACAUUUAGCCUAUAUAAGUCGUCUUAGAGUCAUCUGAGAAGGGGUUAGAUGGGUUAGACCUUGUUAGACCUAGUUAGACUUAGACAAUUUUAUUUACUUUGUUUUCACUUAGUUUUAGUUUUAUGUUUGCU
rnacentral:lncRNA from 1 species